rnacentral:rRNA from 1 species
UACGUAGGGCGCAAGCGUUGUCCGGAAUUAUUGGGCGUAAAGAGCUCGUAGGCGGCUUGUUGCGUCGGAUGUGAAAGCCCGGGGCUUAACUCCGGGUCUGCAUUCGAUACGGGCAGGCUAGAGUUCGGUAGGGGAGAUCGGAAUUCCUGGUGUAGCGGUGGAAAUGACGCAGAUAUCAGGAGGAACACCGGUGGCGAAGGCGGAUCUCUGGGCCGAUACUGACGCUGAGGAGCGAAAGCGUGGGGAGCGAACAGG